rnacentral:lncRNA from 1 species
ACUAUAAGAAAGUCAGAAAUCAAACUGUCCUAUCCCAAAAAUAAAAAUCUAAAACUAUGGUGAACACUAAAUUCAAGUAAUAUGACAUUUUCUAAUUAUUUUACAGUUUGACAUGGAAAAUAAAGAAAAUGUAAGCAUCUUCAGAAAAAGGAUUACUUCUUAUUCACUGUUGUAUCUCCAGAGCCUGAUAUAAUACAUGGAAGGUAUUCAAUAAAUGUUAAUUGAAUGACUAUCGAAUACAGUGAAUUGCCUCUAGAUCUCUUAUGACAGUCUCAUGGGCUGCUGGCUCCAUCCUGGGAACAGCAAAAGGACGUUAAAGGAAGGACCAUUGGAAGACAGAGGUAGCCAUUAUGUAGGGAGCAGCUUUUACUUUUCAAGGUGAUUUUUUUCAUCUAAAGUCAUUUCCAAA